GAUGAACGCUGGCGGCGUGCUUAACACAUGCAAGUCGAACGAAGCACCUGAGAAUGAUUCUUCGGAUGAAGUCUCUUGUGACUGAGUGGCGGACGGGUGAGUAACGCGUGGGUAACCUGCCUCACACAGGGGGAUAACAGUUGGAAACGACCGCUAAUACCGCAUAACCCGCUGGUGCCGCAUGGCACUGACGGAAAAGAUUUAUCGGUGUGAGAUGGACCCGCGUCUGAUUAGCCAGUUGGCAGGGUAACGGCCUACCAAAGCGACGAUCAGUAGCCGGCCUGAGAGGGUGAACGGCCACAUUGGGACUGAGACACGGCCCAG
rnacentral:rRNA from 1 species